GCCCCAUCUUCGCUCGUUUUACAAACGAAGUUACAGACCAAAGAACCCCUCUCUCUCUCUCUCUCUCUCUCUCUCUGCACUUUGUCUCUUUGCUUCUCUGUCUCCAUCCCUUGCUUCAUCUUUCAAAGCUGGGUUCUCUCCGAGGAGAAUCCACGAGUAAAGGACUCAAUGUCUUAGUGUUUUCUUCUUAGGACGUUUAAAUGUUCUGUUUAUCAUGCCAUUGCUGUGGACAAAGAACCACUGCCUUAAUAUACAAGAGGUAAUAUAUAUAUAUAUAUUUGAAAUGAUGGUGUCUGAGGCCCUUUGGACACUCGACUAAUCCAUCAGGAUUAGGGCCCGCCCCUCUACCCUUCACCACCAUUAUCUCAAAGAGAAAGGUGUAGCCCCCAAGAGGAAAAACAGGUUAAAACCAUGGAGUUAGACAUUACAAGAAGCCAAGGAGGAUUUGGAGGAUUCAAAGCUCAAAUUCAGACAUUCAGUCAAGCUCUAGAGGCUUCAGAUCAUAAAUGAACAAGAAGAUGAUACUCGACCAUGUGGCGCGACCAGCGAACCACAUAGGCGACUUAGUCUUCCACUGCAAACUCUAAGGUUCAGACUGAGAUUAGAAUGCUGCAAGAUUCGACCAAGUACUCAACCAAGUGACCUGCUGGGGCAACCCAUCGAGAUACUGAGAUAGAACUGAAAUUCAGAAGUACCGAGAGUCUCGACAAAGUGUUUGACCAAGAGACCUUCAGGGGCGACUAUGUCGAGCUACUAAGAUUUCUUGAAGAUUGAGAUAUUGCAAGUCUCGACCAUCAACUCGACCAUCAAGACCCUGAGGCACGACGAAAUCGAAGACAAUGAAGAUUCGAAUCCCUGACUUCCUGCGAGUCUCGACUAGGGUGCGCACAAAAAUGACAGAGGAGCGACUUGGUUGACAACGACAAUCUUUUGCGCAAGAUUCGCUGCAAACCUUCAUAAUUUGUAAAACAAAUCUUGUAAAACCUAGAACCUAUAAGUAUUCGCUACGAAUACAAGCUUUGGGUUUCUCUUUGGCCUCUCUUAGGUGAGUGACAGACCUAGGAAGUCAUUGAGAGCCAAAAUAGAAUAGGAGUAGAGUAGUUUUGGUUUGUGUAUGGAGUGUCCGACGACAUGUGAUAACCGGCUGUGUUCAUGCAACAACCAUGUAUAUUAGGAUCUCCUAUUGUACUUCUGGCGUUUGUGACUGACGUUUGGAAUGUUAAAGGGAUGAUUUUUUUA